rnacentral:lncRNA from 1 species
UUCACUUCUUUACUAUAUGAAGCAUAUAGGAGGAGUGGGAGGAUUAGCUAAGCUCAGUAAGGGGCCUCUGCAGGGGAGCAGUUCAGACUUCAGUCUUCCAGGGAGUGGGAAGCUGUGGUUAAUAUCAUCUGGACACAUUAUCAGCAUCUACACUCAGAGCAACGAGGGCCUUUGCAUUCCCAUGGGUUUGAGGCAUUGUGGUCUUUGACAUGGCGUUCCUGUCAAUAAGAUGUGCUCAUUCAAGAUGUCAUUGCCUCUCCACAGACUGACAGUAAUGAAAUUAUAUGAUCUGCCUUCUCUACCUUCUCCCAUGUAGUAGAUGUCCAAUCAUACCUGUGCAUUAAAG